AACUCCUCGCAGCUUUACGCUUACCAGUGAAGAUUCGUCUGAGGUAGCGUUUUUGCUAGUUGAAAACUACAACUAUGACCGCUCUUGUUGGUCUUCGGAUCGGCAAGGAAUUUUUGGCAACUACGCGU
rnacentral:snRNA from 1 species